rnacentral:lncRNA from 1 species
UGGAGGUAUAUUUAUCUGGCAAGAUUUUGUAAAAACACCUCUAAAAAGGCACAUAUGCAUUUAUUAAAGCAUGAAUUUUUAGUGAUAUGCCAAAGUUUGAGCAUAUAUUAGAGAGGCGUACGUAGCUGUACACAUUGGCUACAAGGUGACGAUGGUCAAUCUCCACGAGCAAUGUUUAUGCGUCGCCCCAGAAGCUCACGCAGCAUUCCCCGAUCUUAUCAUGUGUCGUGCUGUGUCAUUAUUGUCGUCCUGGCGCCUUGUCCGCCGCGAGUUCCUUGUACGCAGGGAAUUGAACGGCAGUGCGCCAAU